rnacentral:rRNA from 1 species
GCCUAGCCGUAAACUUUUAUUUACACCCAAUCGCCAGGGAACUACGAGCUAAGCUUAAAACCCAAAGGACUUGACGGUACCCCAUAUCCCCCUAGAGGAGCCUGUCCUGUAAUCGAUAAUCCACGUUAAACCUCACCAUUUUUAGUUAAUCAGCCUGUAUACCUCCGUCGUCAGCUUACCACGUGAGCGCCAAUUAGUGAGCUUAAUGUUUUUCACCAAUACGUCAGGUCAAGGUGCAGCAAAUAAAGUGGGAAGAGAUGGGCUACACUCUCUAUUUUAGAAAAAACGAAAAACUACCUAUGAAACCUAGUUAGAAGGCGGAUUUAGCAGUAAAAAGGAAUCAGCAUGUCCCUUUUAAUCCGGCACUGGGGUGUGUACACACCGCCCGUCA